rnacentral:rRNA from 1 species
AACGAACGCUGGCGGCAUGCCUAACACAUGCAAGUCGAACGAGACCUUCGGGUCUAGUGGCGCCCGGGUGCGUAACGCGUGGGAACCUGCCCUUAGGUUCGGAAUAACUCCCCGAAAGGGGUGCUAAUAACGGAUAAUGUCUUCGGACCAAAGAUUUAUCGGCUUUGGAUGGGCCCGCGUUGGAUUAGCUAGUUGGUAGGGUAAAAGCCUACCAAGGCGACGAUCCAUAGCUGGUCUGAGAGGAUGAUCAGCCACACUGGGACUGAGACACGGCCCAGACUCCUACGGGAGGCAGCAGUGGGGAAUAUUGUACAAUGGGCGAAAGCCUGAUCCAGCAAUGCCGCGUGAGUGAUGAAGGCCUUAGUGUUGUAAAGCUCUUUUACCCGGGAUGAUAAUGACAGUACCGGGAGAAUAAGCGCCGGCUAACUCCGUG